UCUUCUUUGCUGGCGACCGGCGCACGGUGAGUAACACGUAUCCAACCUGCCCUUUACUCGGGGAUAGCCUUUCGAAAGAAAGAUUAAUACCCGAUAGCAUAAUGAUUCCGCAUGGUUUCAUUAUUAAAGGAUUCCGGUAAAGGAUGGGGAUGCGUUCCAUUAGGCAGUUGGUGGGGUAACGGCCCACCAAACCUUCGAUGGAUAGGGGUUCUGAGAGGAAGGUCCCCCACAUUGGAACUGAGACACGGUCCAA
rnacentral:rRNA from 1 species